UGGCUCAGGACGAACGCUGGCGGCGUGCUUAACACAUGCAAGUCGAACGGAAAGGCCCUUCGGGGUACUCGAGUGGCGAACGGGUGAGUAACACGUGGGUGAUCUGCCCUGCACUUUGGGAUAAGCCUGGGAAACUGGGUCUAAUACCGAAUAGGACCACGCGCUUCAUGGUGUGUGGUGGAAAGCUUUUGCGGUGUGGGAUGGGCCCGCGGCCUAUCAGCUUGUUGGUGGGGUAAUGGCCUACCAAGGCGACGACGGGUAGCCGGCCUGAGAGGGUGACCGGCCACACUGGGACUGAGAUACGGCCCAGACUCCUACGGGAGGCAGCAGUGGGGAAUAUUGCACAAUGGGCGCAAGCCUGAUGCAGCGACGCCGCGUGAGGGAUGACGGCCUUCGGGUUGUAAACCUCUUUCAAUAGGGACGAAGCGCAAGUGACGGUACCUAUAGAAGAAGCACCGGCCAACUACGUGCCAGCAGCCGCGGUAAUACGUAGGGUGCGAGCGUUGUCCGGAAUUACUGGGCGUAAAGAGSUCGUAGGUGGUUUGUCGCGUUGUUCGUGAAAACUCACAGCUUAACUGUGGGCGUGCGGGCGAUACGGGCAGACUAGAGUACUGCAGGGGAGACUGGAAUUCCUGGUGUAGCGGUGGAAUGCGCAGAUAUCAGGAGGAACACCGGUGGCGAAGGCGGGUCUCUGGGCAGUAACUGACCGCUGAGGAGCGAAAGCGUGGGGAGCGAACAGGAUUAGAUACCCUGGUAGUCCACGCCGUAAACGGUGGGUACUAGGUGUGGGUUCCUUCCUUGGGAUCCGUGCCGUAGCUAACGCAUUAAGUACCCCGCCUGGGGAGUACGGCCGCAAGGCUAAAACUCAAAGGAAUUGACGGGGGCCCGCACAAGCGGCGGAGCAUGUGGAUUAAUUCGAUGCAACGCGAAGAACCUUACCUGGGUUUGACAUGCACAGGACGCCGGCAGAGAUGUCGGUUCCCUUGUGGCCUGUGUGCAGGUGGUGCAUGGCUGUCGUCAGCUCGUGUCGUGAGAUGUUGGGUUAAGUCCCGCAACGAGCGCAACCCUUGUCCUAUGUUGCCAGCGGGUUAUGCCGGGGACUCGUAGGAGACUGCCGGGGUCAACUCGGAGGAAGGUGGGGAUGACGUCAAGUCAUCAUGCCCCUUAUGUCCAGGGCUUCACACAUGCUACAAUGGCCGGUACAAAGGGCUGCGAUGCCGUGAGGUGGAGCGAAUCCUUUCAAAGCCGGUCUCAGUUCGGAUCGGGGUCUGCAACUCGACCCCGUGAAGUCGGAGUCGCUAGUAAUCGCAGAUCAGCAACGCUGCGGUGAAUACGUUCCCGGGCCUUGUACACACCGCCCGUCACGUCAUGAAAGUCGGUAACACCCGAAGCCGGUGGCCUAACCCCUUGUGAAGGAAGCCGUCAAAGGUGGAAUCGGCAAU
rnacentral:rRNA from 1 species